UUACAAACCCAGCACAAGCAGCAAAAAAGUUUAAAGAGGCCCUGCUAAGGGACCAUGAAACUGGGAAGCCUCUUAACCUAUCCAUGGACAUGAGGGAUUCUGAAAAUUGCAGAGAAAAGGCCCUUCUGGAGUUCUACAAAGGCCAACAUGAAUGGGCAUUCCCCCUGAAGUGUAUCCUUGAUGGUUAGCAAUGUAGUCUAGUCUGCUAUGAGAAAACAAGUGCUCUAGAAUGGUGGAGUUUUGACAACAUCAUGUUUUUUAUUUUGUUGUAGGUGAUCCAGCAGUUGGGAGGGAGUUCAAUGAUACUUCCUAACAACAUUAAUUUCCAAAUUUCAAUUCGGAUUUAACCUCAACCUUGGUAUUUCCUUGGCGAUAUCACUAUUUGACAUGCUUAAAAAGUUCAUAAUUUUUAUGCAAAUAAUCACAGCCAUUAUUAAAAAUCAGUGAGGCUAUAGAUUACUACCAAAAUUCAUGCUCCAUAUUUCAUCAAGGUGGGACAGGUCGAACUCUUCUGUUUGAGGAUGAACCUUAUCAUCUCGUUCCCACAACCUCCUAGGUACUCGUAGAGAGCAGUCUUUUCAGGGUUGCUGGCAAGAUGUUGGGCAAUACAUUUUUGCACAAUGGCCCCUGUCUAGCUGGAUUGAGUCUGGCCUUAAUACAUGUGUUCCUGGGUGAGGAUCCAGAAAUGGCAACUAUAGUCAUAGAAUGUUCUGCUGAUAUGGAUGUUUGGAGCAUCAUCAAACUGCAUCAGCAAGUACACUGGCCCAGCUGCUGAAGUUCUGGGUGGGGUGGGAGAUUGUCCCACAAGAACUGAAAGUGCAGGUGUCCAGAGGGGCGUUUCCAACAUCAGCCACCUGCUUUGAAAUGCUGAAGCUGCCUGUACAUUUCAAGGACUACAGUGACUUUGAGACGGCACUGCUUAAUUAGACAAUUGAUCAAUUAGUUCCUGUAAUGUUUGACCUCUCACAUUUGCUAAUGUUGUGAGAAAGUUAACCCAGGUAGUUUCAAAUUAUUGCCUUGGUUUGUUUUGUAAAAUAUGAGAAAAAUCUGUAUAAAUAAAAAGUAUAGGCAGUCAUUAAAGUCUUACUUAUCAAUUCAA